UGGGGAAUCUUGCGCAAUGGGCGAAAGCCUGACGCAGCGACGCCGCGUGCGGGAAGAAGGCCUUCGGGUUGUAAACCGCUUUCAGGAGGGACGAAGCCACUCGGGUUAAUAGCCCAGAGGGUGACGGUACCUCCAGAAGAAGCCCCGGCUAACUACGUGCCAGCAGCCGCGGUAAUACGUAGGGGGCAAGCGUUGUCCGGAUUUAUUGGGCGUAAAGAGCGUGUAGGCGGUUAUGCAGGUCCGCUGUGAAAACUGGAGGCUUAACCUCCAGACGUCGGUGGAAACCGUAUGACUAGAGUCCGGAAGAGGAGAGUGGAAUUCCUGGUGUAGCGGUGAAAUGCGCAGAUAUCAGGAAGAACACCCGUGGCGAAGGCGGCUCUCUGGGACGGUACUGACGCUGAGACGCGAAAGCGUGGGGAGCGAACAG
rnacentral:rRNA from 1 species